rnacentral:rRNA from 1 species
AGUGAACGCUGGCGGUAGGCCUAACACAUGCAAGUCGAACGGCAGCACAGAGGAGCUUGCUCCUUGGGUGGCGAGUGGGGGAGGGGUGAGGAAUACAUCGGAAUCUACUCUGUCGUGGGGGAUAACGUAGGGAAACUUACGCUAAUACCGCAUACGACCUACGGGUGAAAGCAGGGGACCUUCGGGCCUUGCGCGAUUGAAUGAGCCGAUGGCGGAUUAGCUAGUUGGAGGGGUAAAGGCCCACCAAGGCGACGAGCCGUAGCUGGGCUGAGAGGAUGAUCAGACACACUGGAACUGGGACACGGUCCAGACUCCUACGGGAGGCAGCAGUAGGGAAUAUUGGACAAUGGGCGCAAGCCUGAUCCAGCCAUGCCGCGUGGGUGAAGAAGGCCUUCGGGUUGUAAACCUCUUUUGUACGGGACGGAAAGCCCCGGGUUAAUACCCUGGGGUCAUGACGGUACCGUAAGAAUAAGCACCGGCUAACUACGUGCCAGCAGCCGCGGUAA